CCUAAUAGGGCUUAAACUAUUUAGAUGAUUUAGCUAUGCAUGGAUGGAUCGAUUGACAGUUGUUGUUUGCGGGUGUAGCAUCAUCAAGAUUCACAUGCAAAGCCCAGGUGGUAAGCUGUGUUUUUAAUUAAGUGUAUUAGUCUAUGUAUAAUCUUACUGCUAAAGCUUUUUGGAGGUGAGAAUCUUGAUGAUGCUGCAUCGGCAAUAAACGACUACAUAAACAUCAGGAAAAAUCAUGGUCACCAAUAUUACAGAUCCCAGUUUGCAUUGGAUGAAUAAGUUGUUGAUAAAGGACUAGUGAAAGAUCUAGAUGGUCUAUCAGUUGAUGAAUGUAGCAUAGAUCUGUGAUUAUUCUUUUUCCGUGCAGACAAUGUGGAACAGUAAAAGUGAUAAUGGAAAGGAGUAGUUGAACAUAAGUGUACUAUGCUUCUUUGAGAUGGGGAGAGAUGGUGAGAGAGUGGUCUUGUUGAAGAAGCUGAUUUAUUGUACAAGGUACGAAAUUUCUUAAUUUUAAGUUUCUUUUUUAAUUUUCUUUUCCUUUUUUGGCAUGUUUGGCAUAGACUCUCACUUGAACUCAUUGUCCUGUUGCCAGUUAACACUUUUGCAAUCUUCCUAGCUUCUAAGGGUUUUCUGAAUAUGCAAUUGCUAUUAGUACACCAAAACUGGCCUUGGAGAAGAAAGCUGCUUUUUCUAUAUAUGUGUGUUCUUCUCACAGGACUUAAAUAGCAAAAAAAAGUUUUGAGUUUCUAAGUUUGGAGGUCUAUUUCAGAGCUCAAACAGUUCAGCUUCAGUUAUUUAAUGGAGAUUUUGCAAGUGGAUUUUGUCCAAUAUACUCUUUGAAAAUUGUAACUGAUCUUCAAACUGUUCAAUGUGCAAAUCGUGGUGGGACUUGGAAGGACUAUGUCAUAAUAUUGUCACUGGGACUGCAUGGGUUGGGUUUCUUUAACAUCAAUUCAUGUAGGUGGACCAAGUCCUAGUGACAUCUUGCAACUUGGCCACUCUUAAAAUGGUACUCUCUUCUGAAAAAUAUUCAGUGCAACCCUUCCUCCUCACCACCCUCUUGAAUAAUACACACUGUUAGUACUAGUACCCGAAAUCUUCCCAAUAAUGUCUUCCCUUUCGAUUGAUCGCCACCCUUGAGUCUUGAUAAUGAUGAUUCAGACAAUUCCAUCAACUAUAUGAAGAUUUGAGUGGUUCUAACACUAUCAAACCACUGACUCAUUGUACUUAGUGUCUAAAUGAGCAUAUGUCCUUGCAUGAAGCAAUAAAGUCUACUACGUUUUAAAUCUGAUUUAAGCUAAUAAUACUAUGAUGAUGAAUGUAGUCAUGGAAUAAUUUUUUUAAAAUCAUUUUAAGUCUUUAAGCUUCUUCUUUAUAGCUGAGGAUAGUCCAAUGUCAAAGCGUACAUACCAUGCUUAUGUUUAAUGGAGUAUUAGCAAGAAGUAGGGGGACUGUAAAGUUUCUGUUUCCUGUGAUCAAUUAACCAUUAUAGCAGCCUACAACAAUGUGUUCAAGUAGGUGCGUCACACUAAGUAGCUGUCUUCUCUCGUGCAUUCUUUGAGUUACACUUAUCUUUAAUUGCCUUUGCACCAAACUCUUGUUUCUUAAUUUUGUAUUUGGGGGCCAAAUUCAUUUUAGAUGGAGUCCGAUUGCAAACAUGGAGUUAAUCAUUUUCUGAGUUUCAGUUCUCCCCAAAAGUUUAUUGUAAUUGUAAUUUGUUUCUAUGUAUCUGAUUUUGCAAAAAUAAUUCUUGAUCAGUCGUAUUUUCACUUUGUCUGGUUCCAAAAUUUCAACAAUGCUCUAGUUGGCUAGUGACAUUUCCGACUUGUCGGUGAUGAUUGUUGGUAAACAACAAAAUCUCGUUACACUCAACUUUUCCUCCUAAAAUAAUUCGAAUUGUAGUGACUUGUGAAGCAUUCUUGUUUAAGAUUCCUGACAUUAUUGACUUGCACAAAAUUACUAUUCCCGUGGGUGUUGUUUGAUUCUCCUUGUGUUCAGUGUUGACAACCAUCGGAAUAGUAAAUAAAACCAGCUCUUCCAUGACAUUAUAAUGUCAAUUACGAAUUUAUUGCCCUUGUUUUGUUCUUAUUCGAGCAGUAUUAUCCUCUUGAAUCUUUAUUGAAUUCCACAUAAACGUGUAGUGUUGAAAACUUAACCUCCCUAGCUACUUACCAUGAUUGAGCAACUUUUUUACGUUUCCAGAUAAGGUAUGGUGCUUUACAUGUAUGCCAUCUCAAGGUACCUUCAAAAAUUUCCAAUUCAUUAUUUUGUGUUUCUGCUUGAUGUUAUUUGGUUAAACUGCCUCCAGAUUCUAAGCUGGGUAAAACUUGGAAAAGAUGAAUAAAGGUGACUUUUUUUUUUUCUUUUUUUAACUACAUCACUUUUGUUUCCAACUCUUGGCAUUACAUAUCGAAAGUAAAACAACAUUUGCAGAACAGAUGACUGUAUUACUAGCCUUCUUUCAUGAUGAAUUGCAUUUCAGCUGGAAACCUAUAGAUUCUGGUAAUAAAGUUGGAAAAUCCUUGGAGUGCAAUUUUGUAAGACUAGAAUACUUGGAUUAUGAUAUACAUCUCUUUUAUCUAUACGCUGACUCGUGAUUAUAUGUAUGAAUGCAUUAGGUGGUACGUCAUGUAAAUACUGCCAACCCUUUUUUUUUUUUGUCUCCCUGGAAAUAGAAUACUUCGAUUAUGAUAUGUAUCCUUCCUCAUGAAUAUAUUGUUAAAACAGAUUCAUUUGAAUGUAAAUAGCUUGCGUGAUUUCUGUUUUUGGCAUAAUAAUGGUAUUUGAUCAACUUUGCAUUUGUCCAACUUGCUUCCACUAUUUGUUCUGAAUGAAUGACAGUGGAAGUUAGUGCACAACUCCAAAGAGUGUUGAUCGCCUAUGCCAUUUUUCCCCCACUUUCAAACAAGGAUAGAGAUUUUCAACCUACGACCUGUUUCAUUGCCACUCCAACUGAUCACUAAUGACAUGAAAAUUUCCUUCACCAAUCGUACAAAUCUCACUUUAGUCGUAGUUGGCUAUGGAGGAACUUCCGUUGUGUAGCGGAAAAGAGAACAGCAGAAAGUAAUAGCCCACGCUUUACAAUAUGGGUUUCACCUGUGAAGCAUCCAAACAAUCUUGAUGUACUAAUCCAGAGAUUUUCAGGCUAAUUCCUGGGACUAAUAGUUUGCUUGCUAGUAUUUUAUUCCGUUUCCCAGUACUAGUAUUGGCAUAUAUUUUCUUCAUCUGUCAUAACCUACAUUUUAUGGGACAAAUAUUUUCGUUACGGGGGAACAAAUUGGCAUGCACUUCAGAUAUAAAGAUCCUUGGAAAUGAUUUGAUCGUUAAGUGAAACGGAUGAUGCAAUCAUUGUAAAGAUCGUCUUAUGACACAUUAUGAGCUUGACAGGUUUUUAGAACGAUAUCUGGGUAAGUUGGAGCAUUUCCAUUCAUGAACCAAAAACCUAGCAUUCGUUAUCGAUGGUUAUCAGUUGUUGAGAAGACUGGGGAAAUUUAACAGAAACUGAAGUAGGUUUGUAUCUUGUUCUCUGCUUCACCAAAACCUUGUUAGUCAUUUUUGGUGUUAGUAUUUGCUGAAGGGGAACUACUUCAAUGCUGAAAAAACAAGUAUUUGUACUUUUUAAGCAGAAAAUGAGGAUCUUUAGUUCUUGGAUUUC